UGGGGAAUUUUGGACAAUGGGCGCAAGCCUGCUCCAGCAAUGCCGCGUGCAGGAUGAAGGCCUUCGGGUUGUAAACUGCUUUUAUACCGGAGAAAACCUCUCCUCGUGAGGAGAGCUGAUAGUAUGGUAGGAAUAAGCACCGGCUAACUUCGUGCCAGCAGCCGCGGUAAUACGAAGGGUGCAAGCGUUACUCGGAAUUACUGGGCGUAAAGCGUGCGUAGGUGGUGGUUUAAGUCUGCUGUGAAAGCCCUGGGCUCAACCUGGGAAUUGCAGUGGAUACUGGAUCACUAGAGUGUGGUAGAGGGAUGCGGAAUUUCUGGUGUAGCAGUGAAAUGCGUAGAUAUGCGGAGGAACACCGAUGGCGAAGGCAGCCUCCUGGGCCAGUACUGACGCUCAUGCACGAAAGCGUGGGGAGCAAACA
rnacentral:rRNA from 1 species